GCCUACGGCCGCACUGGACUGAAUGCGUCCAAUCCCUUCCGAACUCAGAAGCUAAGCGGUCCCGACCCCGGCUAGUACCUGGAUUGGAGACCGCCUGGGAAUCCUGGGUGCUGUAGGCU
rnacentral:rRNA from 1 species